rnacentral:rRNA from 1 species
UACGUAGGGUGCAAGCGUUGUCCGGAAUUAUUGGGCGUAAAGAGCUCGUAGGCGGUCUGUCGCGUCGGCUGUGAAAACUCGGGGCUCAACCCCGAGCCUGCAGUCGAUACGGGCAGACUAGAGUGCUGUAGGGGAGACUGGAAUUCCUGGUGUAGCGGUGAAAUGCGCAGAUAUCAGGAGGAACACCGGUGGCGAAGGCGGGUCUCUGGGCAGUAACUGACGCUGAGGAGCGAAACCGUGGGGAGCAAACAGG